AACGUAGGAGACAAACGUUAUCCGGAGUUACUGGGCGUAAAGGGCGUGUAGGCGGUCUGUUAAGUCUGGCGUGAAAGCUCUCGGCUAAACCGGGAGAGGUCGUUGGAUACUGGCAGACUAGAGGACGGUAGAGGCGUGUUGAAUUCCGGGUGUAGUGGUGAAAUGCGUAGAGAUCCGGAGGAACACCAGUGGCGAAGGCGACACGCUGGGCCGUACCUGACGCUAAAGCGCGACAGCAUGGGGAGCAAACGGG
rnacentral:rRNA from 1 species